UACGUAGGGGCCUAGCGUUGUCCGGAUUUAUUGGGCGUAAAGAGCUCGUAGGCGGUUUGUCGCGUCUGCUGUGAAAUCCCGAGGCUCAACCUCGGGCCUGCAGUGGGUACGGGCAGACUGGAGUGCGGUAGGGGAGAAUGGAAUUCCUGGUGUAGCGGUGGAAUGCGCAGAUAUCAGGAGGAACACCGAUGGCGAAGGCAGUUCUCUGGGCCGUAACUGACGCUGAGGAGCGAAAGCGUGGGGAGCGAACAGG
rnacentral:rRNA from 1 species